AUUGUCUGAAAAGGGUAUGUGAAAUCUUGGCUUUUAGCCAUUAUUCAGAGACCGGUUAAGUGCACACGUCCCUGGAAAUCCCCAAGUGAAACUGCAGUGAAGGGACUUAAUAUGUUACAAGUGGAAGAGGUGGUCAGUUCCUGAGAGGGAGACUUGCGGCCUGGGAAUUCAUUUCUCCCAGGAAGCUACCUUCCAAGUGCCCACCUUCACCUGAGGACAGUCCUCCAGUCAGUCACGUGCCCUCUGUACAUUCACUCAUGUCGCAAACACUUAUCGAGCACCUACUUGGUGCUGGGUGUGUAGGAUUUCACAGUUUAAUAUUUCUCUGCCCUCAUGGAGCUUGUAUGCCAGCAGGGGAGAAAGAACAAUAAGUAAAUACAUCUGUAAUAUGUCAGGAAAAGGAAGAAGGAGUUUAAAACAUGUAAAUGUGAUGGACGGCAAGGAGACCUCAGAAAUGGGUGGUGAUUUAAGAGAGGAGUCAGGAAGGAAUUCUCUUGUGCUACAGUAGGUUGAGGAUCUGGAAUGGUCACUGUAGCGGCUCGGGUUGCUGCUGUGGUGUGGAUUUGAUCCUGGCCCAGGAACUUCUACCUCUGCAGGUGCUGUCAAAAAGAGUCAGGAAACGUCUCUCUGGGAAGGUGAGGUUUGAGCAGACUGGAAUGAUGGGAGAGUAUGAAACCUGUGAGUGUCUGGGGAGAAGGAUGUUCCAUACAGAAUGACCAACCAACACAAGAGUGAGCUUGGCCCAUUCUAGGAAAAUCACGCAGGACAAUUGGACCAAACUGAAGAGAAUGAGGCAGGGAGUGAAAGGAGAUGCAACUGGAGAGGUGGGUACGAGCUGGACGUCUUAGACCUUACGGGAUCUGGAGGAGCAUUCUGGUUGCUAUCUGGAAACCCUGAUCACUGAGGAACUGAGGAGUGAAGAAGGAAUUGGGGAGUCCAAGUGCAAGACUGUUGCAGGGAUGUAGGUGAGUAGUGGUGGUUGCUUUGGUCUAGGUGGUAGCAGUGGAAAUGGUGAAAGGUAGUGGGUUUGAAAUAAAUUUGGAAUCCAGUUGGGUGAAUUGGAUAUGGGUUGUAAAGAGAAGAGUAAAAGUCUUCUAUGUUUUAUUUUUAUUAUUGUUUUCUUUUUUAGCCACCCCGUGGCAUAUGGAGUUCCUGGCCAGGGAUCAGAUCUGAGUCACCUUUGCAACCUACACCAUGUCUGCGGCAAUGCUGUAUCCUUAACCCACAGUGCUGGGCCAGGGAUCAAACCUGUGUCCCAGCGCUGCAGAGACACUGCCAAUCCCAUUGCACCACAGUGGGAACUCCAGAAAAAGUGUCCUGUGUUUUGAGUCUGAUAAACCAGGUGAAUAUUUACAGGAACGAGGAAGGCUGGAGGGAGGGCUGACGAGGGUGAGGGGUUCACCAAGCAUAGAUGGCUAGAGAUGAUGGGAAUUGAGGGGACAGGUCAGGGAUCAAGAUGUGGAGUUGAGAUUCUUAAGUGUCUAGAUGUAUUUAAAGCCUGGAUUUGAGUAAGAUCAUCCUUAGGGAGAAAAGUAGAUACAUGAGAGAGUUGAAGACUGAGCCCUGAGAUGUUGGGAGGAGGAGGAAGGGUCAUCCAUAGAGAUGGGGAAGAGACUUGCAGUGAUCUCUGGAGAGUUUUCAAGGAAGGGGGUUGAUUGCUUCAGUAAUACUUCAGUGAUGAUGGAGACCACUGGUGUCUGGACAAAAUCAAGUUCAGGGGCAUAGUAGGGGUGAGCACUUGAUCGGUGUGAAUUGAAACCACAAUGAGAAGUAAGGAAAUGAAGAUAUAAGUAUAAAUAAUUCUUUUUUUCCGGAAGAUUUCAUGUUUUUUUUCUUUCUAAAUUUAAAGUGUAGGUGAUCUAUAAUGUGCCAAUUUCUGCUGUACAGCAAAGUGAACCAGUCAUACAUGUAUGUACUUUCCUUUUCUUAAAAAAUAUGGAAUACUUCACAAAUGUUAUCCCCAUGCUGGGGCCAUGCUAAUCUCUGUAUCGUUCUAAUUUAAGUCUGUGUGCUGCCCAUGGGAGCGUCUAGACAGUUCUAUUUAGAAGUUUUACUAUAGGGGAGUUCCCGUCAUGGCUCAGUGGUUAACAAAUCUGACUAGGAACCAUGAGGUUGUGGGUUUGAUCCCUGGCCGCACCCAGUGGGUUAAGGAUCUGGCGCUGCCAUGAGCUGUGGUGUAGGUCACAGAUUGUGGCUCUGAUCUGGUGUUGCUGUGGCUCUGGCAUAGGCUGGUGGCUACAGCUCCAAUUAGACCCCUAGCCUAGGAACCUCCAUAUGCUGCGGGUACAGCUGUAGAAAAGACAGAGACAAAAAAGAAAAAAAAAAAA
rnacentral:lncRNA from 1 species